rnacentral:rRNA from 1 species
AGAGUUUGAUCCUGGCUCAGGACGAACGCUGGCGGCGCGCCUAACACAUGCAAGUCGAACGAGAGAUGAGGAGCUUGCUCUUCAAAUCGAGUGGCGAACGGGUGAGUAACGCGUGAGGAACCUGCCUCAAAGAGGGGGACAACAGUUGGAAACGACUGCUAAUACCGCAUAAGCCCACGGCUCGGCAUCGAGCAGAGGGAAAAGGAGCAAUCCGCUUUGAGAUGGCCUCGCGUCCGAUUAGCUAGUUGGUGAGGUAACGGCCCACCAAGGCGACGAUCGGUAGCCGGACUGAGAGGUUGAACGGCCACAUUGGGACUGAGACACGGCCCAGACUCCUACAGGAGGCAGCAGUGGGGAAUAUUGCACAAUGGGGGAAACCCUGAUGCAGCGACGCCGCGUGGAGGAAGAAGGUCUUCGGAUUGUAAACUCCUGUUGUUGGGGAAGAUAAUGACGGUACCCAACAAGGAAGUGACGGCUAACUACGUGCCAGCAGCCGCGGUAAAACGUAGGUCACAAGCGUUGUCCGGAAUUACUGGGUGUAAAGGGAGCGCAGGCGGGAAGACAAGUUGGAAGUGAAAUCUAUGGGCUCAACCCAUAAACUGCUUUCAAAACUGUUUUUCUUGAGUAGUGCAGAGGUAGGCGGAAUUCCCGGUGUAGCGGUGGAAUGCGUAGAUAUCGGGAGGAACACCAGUGGCGAAGGCGGCCUACUGGGCACCAACUGACGCUGAGGCUCGAAAGUGUGGGUAGCAAACAGGAUUAGAUACCCUGGUAGUCCACACCGUAAACGAUGAUUACUAGGUGUUGGAGGAUUGACCCCUUCAGUGCCGCAGUUAACACAAUAAGUAAUCCACCUGGGGAGUACGACCGCAAGGUUGAAACUCAAAGGAAUUGACGGGGGCCCGCACAAGCAGUGGAGUAUGUGGUUUAAUUCGACGCAACGCGAAGAACCUUACCAAGUCUUGACAUCCCUUGACGAUGCUGGAAACAGUAUUUCUCUUCGGAGCAAGGAGACAGGUGGUGCAUGGUUGUCGUCAGCUCGUGUCGUGAGAUGUUGGGUUAAGUCCCGCAACGAGCGCAACCCUUAUGGUCAGUUACUACGCAAGAGGACUCUGGCCAGACUGCCGUUGACAAAACGGAGGAAGGUGGGGAUGACGUCAAAUCAUCAUGCCCUUUAUGACUUGGGCUACACACGUACUACAAUGGCGUUAAACAAAGAGAAGCAAGACCGCGAGGUGGAGCAAAACUCAGAAACAACGUCCCAGUUCGGACUGCAGGCUGCAACUCGCCUGCACGAAGUCGGAAUUGCUAGUAAUCGUGGAUCAGCAUGCCACGGUGAAUACGUUCCCGGGCCUUGCACUCACCGCCCGUCA